GUACACGCUGUGACUAGCAUAUCAAUAAGCGGAGGAAAAGAAACUAACAAGGAUUCCCCUAGUAACGGCGAGUGAAGCGGGAAGAGCUCAAAUUUGAAAUCUUAAAGGGUUUCCCUUUACGAAUUGUAGUUUAAAGAAGUGUUUUCUGUUGAGGUUUUGGUAAAAGUUCUUUGGAAUAGGACAUCAUAGAGGGUGAGAAUCCCGUAUUUGACCUUUACUUUCAACUUUGUGAUACACUUUCAAAGAGUCGGAUUGUUUGGGAAUGCAGUCCAAAAUGGGUGGUAAAUUUCAUCUAAAGCUAAAUAUUGGCGAGAGACCGAUAGCGAACAAGUACCGUGAGGGAAAGAUGAAAAGAACCUUGGAAAAGAGAGUUAAACAGUACGUGAAAUUGUCAAAAGGGAAGCGUUUGACACCAGUGUUGUUUUUCUGAAAAUCAAUUAAAGAACUGUUUAUGCUAAGUUGUUUAGACUUUAUCAGCUAACUGUUUAGUUUUGAGCUUUUCUUUAAUGCACUUUUCAGUUAACAAGUCAACAUCAAUUUCUUUUGCUGUAAAAAAGCUUGAGGAAGGUGGCUUGAGAUUCGUCUUAAGUGUUUAUAGCCUCUUGCCUAUGCAGUCGGAGAGAUUGAGGUCCGCAGCGUAGAUCCUUCGGGGCUAAAUGCAUUUGUGCUAAGUUAUAGCAUUUCAUAGACAACUUGUUGACUAUGAUUUGUCUUGUAGCUUACUCGCUUAUGUUAUUUUACCUACGCUUAGGAUGUUGACGAGACUGUCGAUCUC
rnacentral:rRNA from 1 species